AUGGACGUCACGGCAUGGGCAUGGGCCUCCUUCCUGGCCGUCGUCCUCGUCGUCCUAACCAUUCUCCGCCGUGGCCGUGGCUCGCAGCCGCAGGGGAACAGGCUUCCACCAGGACCGAAGCCGUGGCCCGUGAUCGGCAACCUCAAUCUCAUCGGCGCGCUGCCGCACCGCUCCAUCCACGAGCUGUCCAAGCAGUACGGCCCGUUGAUGCAGCUCCGGUUCGGGUCCUUCCCCGUCGUGGUGGGCUCCUCGGCCGAGAUGGCCAGGUUCUUCCUCAAGACCCACGACACGGUGUUCGCCGACCGGCCAAGGACCGCCGCCGGCAAGCACACCACCUACAACUACUCCGACGUCCUGUGGGCGCCCUACAACGCCCACUUCCGCCGCGCGCGCAGGCUCUUCGCCACCGAGCUGUUCAGCGCGGCGCGGCUCGAGUCCUACAAGCACAUCCGCCACGAGGAGGUGAGCGCGCUGCUGCGCGACCUGGCCGCGGCCGCUCACGGGGCAUCUGGCCGUGCCGUGCCGCUCAGGGGACACCUCUUUGCGGCGACCAACGGCAUCAUCUCGCGGGUGGUGCUGGGCAAGAAGUACGCGGAGAAGGAGGCAGGAGGCUCGGCAGCCAUGGCGCUGGAGGAUUUGUCGGGCUUAAUUGAGGAGUUUUUCCUUCUCAACGGCGUGAUCAACGUCGGCGAUUUCAUUCCGUGGUUCGACUGGCUGGACCUGCAAGGGUACGUCCGGAGGAUGAAGAAGUACAGCAAGAAGAUGGACCGCUUUCUCGAGCAUGUCCUGGAGGAACACGAGGAGCGCCGGCGUGUCAAGGGGGAGCAGUUCGUGGCGAGGGACAUGGUGGACGUGCUGCUGCAGCUCGCCGACAAUCCUAACCGGCUUGACCGAGACACCGUCAAGGCUCUCACUCAGGUAUGCAUGCAGGAACUUAUCGUCGGGGGUUCAGAUACCUCCAGUGUAACCAUGGAGUGGGCGAUGUCGGAGGUUCUCAGGAACCCUGAGGUCUUGGGCAAGGCCACCAAGGAGCUCGACCGUGUGGUCGGCCGUGACAGGAUGGUCAUGGAGAAGGACAUCCCAGACCUCCCUUACAUAGAGGCCAUCGUGAAGGAGGCGAUGCGCAUGCACCCGGUGUCGCCCAUGUUGGCGCCCCACCUCGCACGCGAGGACGCGUCCGUCGACGGCCACGACAUCCCCGCCGGCACGCUCGUCCUCGUCAACGUGUGGGCCAUCGGCCGUGACCCGACCUAUUGGGACGCGCCGGAGGAGUUCCGACCAGAGAGGUUUAUGGGGAGCAAGAUCGACGUGAAGGGGCAGGACAUGGAGCUGCUACCGUUCGGGGCCGGCCGCCGGAUGUGCCCCGGGUAUAGCCUGGGACUGAAGGUGGUGCAGUUGAUCGUCGCCAAUCUUCUGCAUGGCUUCACGUGGGGGCUCCCUGACGGCACAACGAUGGAGCAACUCAACAUGGAGGAGAUAUAUGGGCUCACCACUGCGCGCAAGUUCCCGUUAGAGGCAGUGGUGGAGCCUAAGCUCCAAGAACACGUCUUCUCGUAG
rnacentral:rRNA from 1 species